GACGUAUGGGGCAAGCGUUGUUCGGAUUUACUGGGUGUAAAGGGCGAGUAGGCGGUCUUGUAAGUCAAAUGUGAAAUCUUAAAGCUUAACUUUAAAACUGCAUUUGAAACUGUGAGGCUAGAGUUCAGAAGAGGAGAAUGGAAUUCCCGGUGUAGGGGUGAAAUCUGUAGAUAUCGGGAAGAACACCAGUGGCGAAGGCGAUUCUCUGGUCUGACACUGACGCUGAGUCGCGAAAGCUAGGGGAG
rnacentral:rRNA from 1 species